UGCCUGAGCUCAAGUGACAACAAGCAACCCCAGACUAGAGACAGGAUCCUUCUCCCCACUUCGAGCAGAUCCCAGCAUGAAUCCUGCAGUAUGGUGAUGGCAAAAGUCAGUGCAGGACCACUGGGACUCCUGGAGCUUCUCACAUCUCUGAGAGCACCAGCAGCAGUCCCCAGAUAGCAGAUGACUGGUAGGAAGAUGAGGCAAGUUUGCGGUCCAUUGUCAUGGAUAGUGGAGACAACACUGGGCCAGAAGUGGUAAGACCUGAAUCCAAGACUCAGCUCUGCCACUUGCUAAAUGGGACUUUGAAUAAACCAUUUCUCUGCACUUAAGUUCCUUACCAACAAAACGAGGGAAGUGGCCUACAUGCCUAGAUAUCAACAUUUCAUGUCACGUAGAGAUCUAGCAUCACAAGAAUCCAAGUCAUCCUCUGUUGCCUUUAAGACAAAAAGCAGAUCAGCAAGUUUUCAUAUUGCACUAUUUUCAAUGGCUGGA
rnacentral:lncRNA from 10 species